CAAAAACACAAUAGCUGAAACCAAUUCGUGCCGUGGGAGAGUUUCAAUUCGUGCCGUGGGAGAAACUAAGAAAGUUACUACUAGGCUUCCUCUGUUGUUUUUCUCUGGACAAUUGGAAUGUCUACAGGUUUUAUCUUCUUCUCUCCUCAUCAUCAUCAGAGACGCCUAACAACUGUUCGAUAGAAUUCCUCAUAGAGAGAAAAAUAAAAAAUGUACGUGGUGAAACGUGACGGGAAGAAGGAAACUGUUCGCUGUCUCUAGUCUCCACAAGAACACUAAGAACUCAUUUUCUGAAACGUGAGUGUUCUUUUUUUUUUUUGUGCACCCAAACUCUUCAUUCAAACUUAACAAGAUACAAAGGGAUGGAGCAUAUUCGAACAUACCCGAAUAGCAAACUUUGAAGUUAAA